ACUCUGGUAAAGAGUUGGAAGCUGGACUUGAUGUCACCGAGAUGUUGCAUACCGUGUUGGCCCUGGCGUCAUCCUAAUGAUACUUUCCCCUUUUGCUCUGCCUCCUCUGUCCUGGGGGGAUGAAUACCAGAGCAAGUUGCCAUCCUUGGACUUGAAUUCCACCUCAGGUGUGUCUUCCCCAGGGGCCUCUUCGCCAGGUGCCCCCUCCCCAGGGGCCUCUUCCUCGCCAUCUGUUGACUGUUCGGUCUCAUGAUGGUCUGGAUCAAAAUCAGGAUCGUUGUCUUAUAUUUCUGAGACUUCCUCCUCUAUUUCUGGUUCAACUUCAAUCUCCUCUUCAUCAGUUUGAAAAAAAAGGUCAAGAGCCUCUCUGACAGAAAAUCAUCUGAUCGGGCGCUGACUCAUUGUCUUCAUGGUCAAAUAAGAGCGAUGCACAAGCAAGCUAUAUAUAGGGGAUCUGUGAGAAGAUAUCAUACAUUUUGUAUUGAAAGUGUGGUGGGGAUAGGUGCAUAAGCACGGGAAAGAGAGGACACCUAAUUGUUCAGUCUGAAAGGGGUUCAUGUGGGGUGGAGUGUGUGUGUGUGUGUGCGUGCGUGCCUGAACGUGUACGUGUGUGCGUGUGCAUGUAGGUGUGUGUGUGUGUGUGUGUGUGUGUGUGUGUGUGUGUGUGUGUGUGUGUGUGUGUGUGUGUGUGUGUGUGAAAGUGUGUGUGUGUGUGUGUGUGUGUGUGUGUGUGUGUGUGUGUGUGUGU